rnacentral:rRNA from 1 species
GACGAACGCUGGCGGCGUGCCUAAUACAUGCCAGUCGAACGCUUCUUUCCUCCCGAGUGCUUGCACUCAAUUGGAAAGAGGAGUGGCGGACGGGUGAGUAACACGUGGGUAACCUACCCAUCAGAGGGGGAUAACACUUGGAAACAGGUGCUAAUACCGCAUAACAGUUUAUGCCGCAUGGCAUAAGAGUGAAAAGCGCUUUCGGGUGUCGUUGAUGGAUGGACCCGCGGUGCAUUAGCUAGUUGGUGAGGUAACGGCUCACCAAGGCCACGAUGCAUAGCCGACCUGAGAGGGUGAUCGGCCACACUGGGACUGAGACACGGCCCAGACUCCUACGGGAGGCAGCAGUAGGGAAUCUUCGGCAAUGGACGAAAGUCUGACCGAGCAACGCCGCGUGAGUGAAGAAGGUUUUCGGAUCGUAAAACUCCGUUGUUAGAGAAGAACAAGGACGUUAGUAACUGAACGUCCCCUGACGGUAUCUAACCAGAAAGCCACGGCUAACUACGUG